rnacentral:rRNA from 1 species
AGAGUUUGAUCAUGGCUCAGAUUGAACGCUGGCGGCGUGCCUAACACAUGCAAGUCGAGCGGUAACAGGUGUAGCAAUACAUGCUGACGAGCGGCGAACGGGUGAGUAAUGUUUCGGAAUCUACCCAAUGGUGGGGAAUAACCAGCCGAAAGGUUGGCUAAUACCGCAUAAGCCUACGGGGAAGAACGGGGGAUCGUAAG